UUAGGAAAAAUCCAAACCCUAACCUUAAAAACCACGAAUUGAGAGCUUAAAAUAGACGCAGAAUCAGAAUUCCGGUGCUCUACUUGAAGCUCCAUCGAAAAUCCAUAUCCUGGUGGAAGAGAAGCAGAGAAAAUGCCUCUGAAAGUGUUGGGCGCUACCGUAGCAACACUCAAUGGAGUGUUUGAGAAGUUCAAAGCCGAAGCCCCCAAAAACAAGGCCAAUUUCAUCCUCUUCCUGGCUGACAUUGAUCCUUCCACCUCCCUUAGCUGGUGCCCCGAGUCUGUGCCCAUGUGUAUGCAGCAAUUACUCUCAUCCAGUGCAGUAUAUGUUCUUGAUUAGCCUUUGUUAGAACUUAGAACUCACCAGCUGUUGAAGGAUGGAAAAAAUAUUUUUUUUCAAGUUGGUCAAACAGUUGGUUUGGCCGCUUGAUAAGCACAAGAUUCCAAGUUUGAUUCUUCCAUAAGAGAUUGGUCUUCUUGGUUUGAGCUGAUUGGACAACCUAGAUUAGUUUAUCUUGGGGUUCUUUGUCGGCCAGGGUCGCAAGUCAAGCUUCACCCAGAGCACACCUUCUAGAAGCGGCUACAGGCUUUUCUGUAAAUCAAGCAGGAUUUGUAGAUUCUUGUUCUGUUGUUUGUAUACAUUGUUCAAAGAUAUAUGGUAGCUGAUAAAUGUUUUAAUCUUUCUAGCAUAUAAUCUCCAAAUAAUGUAUGCUUUGAAAGGCUAUUCCCAUGCUUGGCAUCAUGAUGUUUGUGUGAAUGUUUUUUCUGAGUAGCUUAGUCGCUUAGUGUACCUAUGAUCAAUUUCGUAAGCAACUUGGUGUCAAUGAUGUUGUGAAUGUUGUUUCCGUGAAUGGUAGUGUACCUUUAAUCUGAAA